GACGAACGCUGGCGGCGUGCUUAACACAUGCAAGUCGAACGGAAAGGCCCUGCUAUCGUGGGGUGAUCGAGUGGCGAACGGGUGAGUAACACGUGAGUAACCUGCCCUUGAUUUUGGGAUAACUUAAGGAAACUGGGGCUAAUACCGGAUAGGAGCUCCUGCUGCAUGGUGGGGGUUGGAAAGUUUCGGCGGUCGGGGAUGGACUCGCGGCUUAUCAGCUUGUUGGUGGGGUAGUUGCUUACCAAGGCUUUGACUGGUAGCCGGCCUGAGAGGGUGACCGGCGACAUUGGGACUGAGGUAGGGCCCAGACGCCUACGUGAGGCAGCAGUGGGGAAUAUUGCACAAUGGGCGGAAGCCUGAUGCAGCAACGCCGCGUGCGGAAUGACGGCCUUCGGGUUGUAAACCGCUUUCGCCUGUGACGAAGCGUGAGUGACGGUAAUGGGUAAAGAAGCACCGGCUAACUACGUG
rnacentral:rRNA from 1 species